UACGUAGGGCGCAAGCGUUGUCCGGAAUUAUUGGGCGUAAAGAGCUCGUAGGCGGCUUGUCACGUCGGAUGUGAAAGCCCGGGGCUUAACUCCGGGUCUGCAUUCGAUACGGGCUGGCUAGAGUGUGGUAGGGGAGAUCGGAAUUCCUGGUGUAGCGGUGAAAUGCGCAGAUAUCAGGAGGAACACCGGUGGCGAGGGCGGAUCUCUGGGCCAUUACUGACGCUGAGGAGCGAAAGCUAGGGUAGCAAACGGG
rnacentral:rRNA from 1 species